GAUGAACGCUGGCGGCGUGCCUAAUACAUGCAAGUCGAGCGAACGGACGAGAAGCUUGCUUCUCUGAUGUUAGCGGCGGACGGGUGAGUAACACGUGGAUAACCUACCUAUAAGACUGGGAUAACUUCGGGAAACCGGAGCUAAUCCCGGAUAAUAUCUUGAACCGCAUGGUUCAAAAGUGAAAGACGGUCUUGCUGUCACUUAUCGAUGGAUCUGCGCUGCAUUAGCUAGUUGGUAAGGUAACGGGUUAUCAAGGGAAGUAGGCGUGACCGAGCUGAUGGGGUGAUCGGCCACCUUGGAACUGGGCCACGCUCCUUGCGCCUACGGUACGGCGCAGUCUGCAACCUGCCGCAACGGUCGAAAGCCUGACGCAGCAGCGCCGCGUGAGUGAUGAAGGCCUCGCGUUCGUAAAGCUCUGUUAUUAGGGAAGAACAUAUGUGUAAGUAACUGUGCACAGCUUGACGGUACCUAAUCAGAAAGCCACGGCUAACUACGUG
rnacentral:rRNA from 1 species